AGAAUUUUAAGUUAUUAAAACUAUUGGCCUUCAAAGCCGAAAAUAAUUUUAGUUAGAUUCUA
rnacentral:tRNA from 1 species